rnacentral:rRNA from 1 species
AACGAACGCUGGCGGCGUGGAUAAGACAUGCAAGUCGAACGGGACAGACCGAGUAGCAAUAUUUGGAAUGUUCAGUGGCGAACGGGUGCGUAACACGUGGAUAACAUUCCGGAAAGCGGGGAAUAGCCCAGGGAAACUUGGAUUAAUACCGCAUGUGGCCGCAAGGCUAAAGACGGGGACCGCAAGGCCUGUCACUUUCCGAUUGGUCCGCGGCCUAUCAGCUAGUUGGCGGGGUAAUGGCCCACCAAGGCUACGACGGGUAGCUGGUCUUAGAGGACUACCAGCCACACUGGAACUGAGACACGGUCCAGACACCUACGGGUUGCAGCAGUCGAGAAUCUUUCACAAUGGGGGCAACCCUGAUGGACCGACGCCACGUGGAGGAUAAGGUCUUCGGAUUGUAAACUCCUGUCAUGCGAGAACAAGGUACUCAGGCUAAUAACCUGAUUGUUUGAUGGUACCGCAAGAGGAAGAGACGGCUAACUCUGUGCCAGCAGCCGCGGUAACAC